rnacentral:rRNA from 1 species
GAGACACGGCCCAGACUCCUACGGGAGGCAGCAGUGGGGAAUAUUGGACAAUGGGGGCAACCCUGAUCCAGCCAUGCCGCGUGAGUGAUGAAGGCCCUAGGGUUGUAAAGCUCUUUCAGCAGGGAAGAUAAUGACGGUACCUGAAGAAGAAGAUCCGGCUAACUCCGUGCCAGCAGCCGCGGUAAUACGGAGGGGUCUAGCGUUAUUCGGAAUUACUGGGCGUAAAGCGAGCGUAGGCGGAUUUGUAAGUUGGAGGUGAAAUCCCAGAGCUUAACUCUGGAACUGCCUUCAAAACUACAUUUCUUGAGUUUGGUAGAGGAGAGUGGAAUUCCUAGUGUAGAGGUGAAAUUCGUAGAUAUUAGGAGGAACACCAGUGGCGAAGGCGACUCUCUGGGCCAAUACUGACGCUGAGGUUCGAAAGCAUGGGUAGCGAACAGGAUUAGAUACCCUGGUAGUCCAUGCAGUAAACGAUGAGUGCUAGAUGUUGGGAAUUUAAAUUUCCAGUAUCGCAGUUAACGCGUUAAGCACUCCGCCUGGGAAGUACGGCCGCAAGGCUAAAACUCAAAUGAAUUGACGGGGACCCGCACAAGCGGUGGAGCAUGUGGUUUAAUUCGAUGCAACGCGAAAAACCUUACCUACACUUGACAUACUUGGUAUCUUCUGUAAUCGAAGAGUGCCUUUUGGAACCAAGAUACAGGUGCUGCAUGGCUGUCGUCAGCUCGUGUCGUGAGAUGUUGGGUUAAGUCCC